rnacentral:rRNA from 25 species
UCUCCGUAGGUGAACCUGCGGAGGGAUCAUU